rnacentral:rRNA from 1 species
UUUGUAGAGGAUGAUUCGGCAAGGGCUCCCGCCUAAGUCUCCUGGAACGGAGCGUCAUAGAGGGUGAGAAUCCCGUAUGCGGUGGGCUGCCUAAGCCAUGUGAAUCUCCUUCGACGAGUCGAGUUGUUUGGGAAUGCAGCUCUAAAUGGGAGGUAAAUUUCUUCUAAAGCUAAAUACCGGCCAGAGACCGAUAGCGCACAAGUAGAGUGAUCGAAAGAUGAAAAGCACUUUGGAAAGAGAGUUAAAAAGUACGUGAAAUUGUUGAAAGGGAAGCGCUUGCAGCCAGACUUGUCCGCAGUUGCUCAGCCGGUCUCCUGACCGGUGUACUCUUCUGCGGCCAGGCCAGCAUCAGUUCGGGCGGUCGGAUAAAGACCUCGGGAAUGUAGCUCCUCUCGGGGAGUGUUAUAGCCCGGGGUGGAAUGCGGCCAGCCUGGACUGAGGAUCUCGCUUCGGCUAGGAUGCUGGCGUAAUGGCUGUAAGCGGCCCGUCUUGAAACACGGACCA